AAUUACCUUAGCAUCAUUCAUUCACUCACUAGUCUCUUCUCCAAACCUCCUUCAUUGCCACCUUAAACAACAAAGCCUCUUCUCCAACUCAAAAAUGGUUGUUUCUGUUCGUGAGAUUGUCACCUACACUUUGAUUUUAAUAUCAUGCAUUUUUCUUUAUCAAAACUUGUUCAGCCGCGACAUACCAGACUCAGUAGUUAAAACAACUGAUCAAGGAUUAGUCGAACUUUCAAAGUCCUCACAUUGCUUUCGCUAUGAAAGAUGUUGCUGCGGUUCAUCAAUAUUUUGUAAUGAAUAUUGCAUUAUAACAUUGGGAAAACCUAAUGGUGGGUAUUGUGCACCAGGCAAGGGUAUGUGUUGUUGCAACGAGUUUGGAGAGAUUUAUAUCUUAUGAUCAUACUGUUUUACAUGCUUGUUAAAGAAUAUCUACAAAUGUACUCUAUGAUUUUCAUAAAAAUUAGUUGGAAUCAAUGAUGUAAUAUCAAUUUGAAAGAAUGUUGUUAUUUUAGUUCUAUAAUAAUAAUGACACUAUUAUGAUGAUUAAA